rnacentral:lncRNA from 1 species
CAAGGAUUCGGAUUUAAGCUAGUCAUGUGGAAAUAAACACAGGCCACCACCAACAGUAAAUGCUAAUGUGCCAUCUGGUUUCUGAAGCAGGAACCUCUUUUUACCUUUUGAGGCACUUUCUUUCUUUUCUUUUUUUUUUUUUUUUUGGUACCAGGGCUUGAACUCAGGUCCUUGCGCUUGUGCAGCAGGCAACAAAACCACUGAGCUAAAUCCCUGGCCCUUUUGAGGCACUUUCUGAUGCUAGCUUCUUAGCUGGAUUCAAAUCUGGCAUCAAGCAAUAGACAUACUUCUACCAUUUGAUCCUCACUAUAGCUAUUUAAGAUAGAAUGGCCAUUCUUAUUAUUUUUUUCAAUUUUAUUCCUGAGGCUUCUGAGGCUGAGAGGGAUUAAGCAAGUGGCAGUCUUCAGAUUCCAAAUGUUGCAUUUGUCUGGCUGAGGAAGGUGGAGGUCAAAGAACAUGUAUCCAAAGCGGAAGAAGUACAAGUUAGAUGGAGGUGUGGCUGCUGUCUCCAGUGGUCUGGAUCAUUCCUUCUUGACAACACAGAAAGAUGGAGAAGGAGCAUGUUAUACAUCUCUGAUUUCCAACAUCUGUUACUCACCUCAAGAGGAGUCUACAUAUUUCACUGGGAUUCUUCAGAAGGAAAACAGUCACAUUACUAGUUCUGAGAGCCCUGAGGAGUUGGGGACCCCUGGACCCUCCUUACCAGAUGUGCCUGGGAUGGAGUCUUGUGGCUUAUUUAGUUCUGAUUCUGGAAUAGAGAUGACUCCUGCAGAGUCCACUGAUGUGAACAUGAUCCUAGUGGACCCUCUGGGCCAGAUGAAAGCAGAACCCUGCAAGUACAUUGACAUCACCAGGCCAGAGGAGGUGAAAUGUCAGGAGCAACAUCGCCCUGACUUGGAGAAUAAAGACUUGGACUUUAAGAGCAAGGACACUGAAAUCUCAACAAAACCAAAAGGGGUCUGUGAAUCUGACAGAGCAGCUCCUGUGGAGGGGAAAAUCAUCAAGGACCACUUGUUUGAAGAAUCCACCUUUGCUCCUUACAUAGAUGACCUCUCGGAGGAGCAGCAUACUCCUCUGGUCACAGCCCCUGUCAAAAUCACACUGACUGAGAUUGACCCUGCUGUCAUGACUGCUGUCCAAGACAAAACGCCAGAGAAGCAAGACAUCUGUCUGAAGCCAAGUCCUGACAUGGUCCCCACUGUCACUGUCUCAGAGCCCGAAGAUGACAGCCCAGGAUCCAUCACUCCUCCAUCUUCUGGAACAGAACCAUCUGCUGCCGAGUCCCAGGGGAAGGGCGGCAUCUCCGAGGACGAGCUCAUCACUGCCAUCAAGGAAGCAAAGGGCUUGUCCUACGAGACGGCGGAGGGCCCGCGGCCGGUGUGCCAGGCGGCCAGCAGCCCCGAGGCCCGGGCCAGGUCGGGGCCGCCCGC